AAAGAGUGGAGUUCAGCGACCACUUAAAAAAACGGGGCGACACCAAAAGCCUUACGAGUAGGAAAUUU
rnacentral:ncRNA from 1 species